rnacentral:tRNA from 1 species
GAGGGGACAGCUCAGUGGUAGAGCAUGUGCUUAGCAUGUACAAGGUCCUGGGUUCAGUCCCCAGGUCCUUCA